CUCAAACUUUUCAUGUCAACUACGGAGAGAACGCUGACCAAAGAUGGAUGCCGUCUUCCAUUGCACAUCCUCAAACUUUACCUGUUAACUACGGAGGAAAUACUAACCAAAGACCGAUACCAUCUUCCAUUGCACAUCCUCAAACUUUACCUGUCAACUACAGGGGGAAUACUGACCAUAGAUCGACGCCAUAUUCCAUUACACAUCUCCAAACAUUACUUAACUACGGAGGGAACGCCGAUCAAAGACCAAUGCCAUCUUCCAUUACAAAUCUCCAAACUUUACCUGCCACGUACGGAGGGUACGCCCACCAAAGACCAAUGUCAUCUUCCAUUACACAUCCCCGAACUUCACCUGUCAACUACGGAGGGACCCCUGACCAAAGACCAAUGCCAUCUUCCAUUACACAUCCCCAAACUUUACCUGUCAGCUACGGAGGGACCACAGACCAAAUACUGAAUCCUGGUGGUGCAAUGGGACAGUUCUCAUCACGAGAGUUCAUGAAUUUGACUCCUGCUAAC
rnacentral:lncRNA from 1 species